AACGAACGCUGGCGGCAUGCCUAACACAUGCAAGUCGAACGAGACCUUCGGGUCUAGUGGCGCACGGGUGCGUAACGCGUGGGAACCUGCCCUUAGGUUCGGAAUAACUCCCCGAAAGGGGUGCUAAUACCGGAUAAUGUCUUCGGACCAAAGAUUUAUCGCCUUUGGAUGGGCCCGCGUUGGAUUAGCUAGUUGGUCGGGUAAAAGCCUACCAAGGCGACGAUCCAUAGCUGGUCUGAGAGGAUGAUCAGCCACACUGGGACUGAGACACGGCCCAGACUCCUACGGAAGGCAGCAGUGGGGAAUAUUGGACAAUGGGCGAAAGCCUGAUCCAUCAAUGCCGCGUGAGUGAUGAAGGCCUUAGGGUUGUAAAGCUCUUUUACCCGGGAUGAUAAUGACAGUACCGGGAGAAUAAGCUCCGGCUAACUCCGUG
rnacentral:rRNA from 1 species